rnacentral:tRNA from 1 species
GGCCCAUUAGCUCAGUUGGUUAGAGCGUCGUGCUAAUAACGCGAAGGUCACAGGUUCGAUACCUGCAUGGGCCA